UACUUGGUAAACUCUAGCGGUUCUCCAACUAAGGCAAUACUCAUAAUCUGGAGGUCGCGAGUUCGAAACUCGCCCCCGGCA
rnacentral:tRNA from 1 species